rnacentral:rRNA from 1 species
GGAGGGUGCGAGCGUUAAUCGGAAUUACUGGGCGUAAAGGGUGCGUAGGUGGUUUGUUAAGUUAUCUGUAAAAUCCCUGGGCUCAACCUGGGCAUGCCAGAUAAAACUGAUGGACUCGAGUACGGGAGAGGGUAGUGGAAUUUCCGGUGUAGCGGUGAAAUGCGUAGAGAUCGGAAGGAACACCAGUGGCGAAGGCGGCUACCUGGCCUGAUACUGACGCUGAGGCACGAAAGCGUGGGGAGCAAACAGGAUUAGAUACCCUGGUAGUCCACGCUGUAAACGAUGUCAACUAGCUGUUGGUUAUAUGAAUAUAAUUAGUGGCGCAGCAAACGCGAUAAGUUAACCGCCUGGGGAGUACGGUCGCAAGAUUA